GCUUUAUUAAUUUAUUUAUUUGCAUUCUGUUAAAGCCUGAUGUUUACCACCUAGGUAAGCACUUCUUUGUGCCAGGCACAGAGAAAAUAAUCCUCUUUUCUGAAAGACAUCCUAAACCUCUGUGCCUCAUUUGUGUGGUUAAUAGAACCUUUUGUGUAGCAUUGCAAUUUCAGCUGCCGAAUGGACCCUCCUGAGGCUAUGGAUGGACCAGCUCUUGAAGCAGUUUGACAAGGACAUGGAUGAAGUUAUCUUACGCCAGUGGCAGCGGAACGUUGAUGAAGAGCCCAGUAGCAAUUAUGAAUUGGCGGCUGCCAACAGAAUGUGGGAGUCUGCUUGUCUCAUCUGCACGUGCUGCACAUCUCUGUAACUAACCAGUUAACUUUCCUCCUCUGCAACCAAAUGCCAGCUCUGUCAUUAGAUGCUGGGCAAAGGAGAGAUUUUAAACUGAAAAAAUGCGUAUUUUUAAUUAAAAAGCUAUUUAGUACUUCAGUCAGACCAUUUCCAUGAACAAUUGCGUGGAGAGAAUUGGAAUUGUGGGUGGAAGGCAGGAGAAUGGAGUCUUGUCUGUUGGUGCUGAUUUGGCAAGAGUUGUUUAGUGACUGCACAGUCAUUUAUUGUACCUUAACCUGGUGCGUAUGCUCCGCAGUUCCUCUCUCUGCUGUUUGAUCACAGCUCUGUAGGAAUGCGAUGUUUUGGUUAAUUCCAAAUCCUUAAACACUUCAAGGUUUCUCAUGAUUUUGAGAUGUUAGAGGUGAUUGCAGGAGGAUGCUGUGGAAAAAAAUAAUUCAGUGAGUUAAUGCAGCAUCUCCAUCGCUGGAUCUUCUUGCAGGGAGAGAACUUGCAACAUCCUCAUCGGGAAUUUUUCAUGUUGAUGUUAUCAAGCCCUUUCAUUAUAGUAAGAUGAAAUGAG
rnacentral:lncRNA from 1 species